rnacentral:rRNA from 1 species
UGGGGAAUAUUGGACAAUGGGGGCAACCCUGAUCCAGCAAUGCCGCGUGUGUGAAGAAGGCCUUCGGGCUGUAAAGCACUUUUAUCGGGAACGAAACAUUGUCGGCCAAUACCCGGCAAGACUGACGGUACCCGAGGAAUAAGCGCCGGCUAACUCCGUGCCAGCAGCCGCGGUAAUACGGAGGGUGCAAGCGUUAAUCGGAAUUACUGGGCGUAAAGCGUGCGCAGGCGGUUUGUUAAGUCUGCUGUGAAAUCCCCGAGCUCAACUUGGGAAUUGCAGUGGAUACUGGCAAGCUGGAGUACGGUAGAGGAAGGCGGAAUUCCCGGUGUAGCAGUGAAAUGCGUAGAGAUCGGGAGGAACACCAGUGGCGAAGGCGGCCUUCUGGACCAGUACUGACGCUCAUGCACGAAAGCGUGGGGAGCAAACA